rnacentral:tRNA from 1 species
GGCGGGGUAGCUCAGUUAGGUAGAGCAGAGGAAUCAUAAUCCUUGUGUCGGGGGUUCAAAUCCCUCCUCCGCUACCA